UCUAACACCACUGAGACAGAACUGAAGACAGAGCUAACAGCACUGAAACAGAACUGAAGACAGAGUUAGCAGCACUGAGACAGAACUGAAGACAGAGUUAACUGCACUGAGACAGAACUGAAGACAGAGUUAACAGCACUGAGACAGAACUGAAGACAGAGUUAACAGCACUGAGACGGAACUGAAGACAGAGCUAACAGCACUGAGACAGAACUGAAGACAGAGCUAACAGCACUGAGACAGAACUGAAGACAGAGUUAACAGCACUGAGACAGAACUGAAGACAGAGUUAGCAGCACUGAGACAGAACUGAAGACAGAGCUAACAGCACUGAGACAGAACUGAAGACAGAGUUAACAGCACUGAGACAGAACUGAAGACAGAGUUAACAGCACUGAGACAGAACUGAAGACAGAGCUAACUGCACUGAGACAGAACUGAAGACAGAGUUAGCAGCACUGAGACAGAACUGAAGACAGAGUUAACAGCACUGAGACAGAACUGAAGACAGAGUUAACAGCACUGAGACAGAACUGAUGACAGAGUUAACAGCACUGAGACAGAACUGAAGACAGAGUUAACUGCACUGAGACAGAACUGAAGACAGAGUUAACAGCACUGAGACAGAACUGAAGACAGAGUUAACAGCACUGAGACAGAACUGAAGACAGAGUUAACUGCACUGAGAAAAGGCUUAGGACAGAGAAGAAAUUCUGAUACAACCACAUCCUGUUGACCUCCUGAUGGACAACCCAUCGUACGCCGAUCAGCCUCCUCCAUACACAGAAGCCACCUUUUAUCCUCCCAUCCCAGUCACCGCCUCACCAGCCAACUGCUCCCUUCAUCCCAACUACAGCACACCUCCACCCACCUAUAGAGAAGCAGUCACCUCACAGCCAGAUCCCUUUCCUGUCCUGACUCCGCCCACCCAGCAACUGACUGGCAUCCACUUACACCAAUCAACACAAAUUGUCAACGGGGCUAGCUUCCAGCAGACCAAUCAGAGGAUCCCAUCAACGGUGGUAUAUAUUGACCCAGUGUCUGUGGGUCCUUUGGGCGACGCCCCCUGUAUGACAAGGUGUUCGAACUGUCGUCAGAACAUCACAACAAUUGUCACCUACAAACCUGGAAUGGCGGCGUGGUCCAUGUGUUUAUUAUUCACACUGCUCGGGCUGAUCUGUGGUUGCUGUCUGAUUCCUUUCCUACUACGAGGGUUCCAGGAUGCUCACCAUACCUGCCCCCUCUGCCACGCACACCUCUAUAUACACAUUAGGUGACAUCACUGCAGGACAUGAAGUCUUCACUACAGGAUGUGACAUCAGCACUACAGGACACUACAUAAUUACUACCGGAUAUGACAUCAUAAUAACAGGAUGUCAGAGACAAGGUUUCUACCAAUCACGUUAUACUGCUUUCCAGAAUGUAUUUUACAUAAGAUACAAAAUAAGUGUAUUAAAUAAGCUAUAAAAUACAGCAGCCACACCAUGUAUCAAAUUAAAAUACAGUAUUUUUGUAUUUUAAAAAUACAAAAAUUACUUUUACAAGGGAGCAUGAAAUCACAUUGCAAACCUUCCAUCUAUCGGUCUAUUUGAUCCAUCCCUUCACCAGUACACUGACUCAGUUGAUUCCAUCUAUCGGUCUAUUUGAUUCAUCCCUUCACCAGUACACU